rnacentral:rRNA from 1 species
ACUCCUAAUAACCAUUGAGCCACACUAUUACAAUAGACGCACUACUGCUAAAACUAGUAACAAGAAAGCCUCUCUUAGCGCACCUUUGUCUCAGUAACAGAACCCCUACUGACAAUUAACAGACCAAAAGCGGAGUACAACCAUGAUAAACUGUCACCCCAACACAGGCGCGCCAAAAAGAAAGAUAAAAAGCUACAAAAGGAACUCAGCAAAACACUGUCCCAACUGUUUACCAAAAACAUAGCCUUUAGCAAAACAAGUAUUAAAGGUCCCGCCUGCCCAGUGAAUCUUAAACGGCCGCGGUAUUAUAACCGUGCAAAGGUAGCGUAAUCACUUGUCUUUUAAAUAAAGACCUGUAUGAACGGCUAAAUGAGGACAAACCUGUCUCCUGUAGCUAAUCAGUGAAACUGAUCUUCCAGUACAAAAGCUGGAAUACCCCCAUAAGACGAGAAGACCCUGUGGAGCUUAAAAUCCACUACUAACCACGGAACUAGUACACAUUUUAAGUUGGGGCGACUUCGGAAAAAACCAAAACUUCCGAGCACAGAACCACAAGUUCUAAUCAAGGCCAACAAGCCUAGACCAAAACCUGACCCAGUCAAACUGAGCAACGAACCAAGUUACCCCAGGGAUAACAGCGCCAUCUUCUUCAAGAGUCCCUAUCGACAAGAAGGUUUACGACCUCGAUGUUGGAUCAGGACACCCAAAUGGUGCAGCCGCUAUUAAUGGUUCGUUUGUUCAACGAUUAACAGU